rnacentral:lncRNA from 1 species
AAUGAAAGAUAAGACAUGAAAUAAUUGUUGAAUAAAAGUGUUUCACCUGUUAACAUAUGAUGAUGCAUCUAUUUUAACAAGACAGAAAAUUUAUGGAUAUUUGCAUUAUUCUGGACAUUGAACAUCGGAUUUUAUAUUUUAUUGUUUAUCUUUAUUUUUAGAUUAUAUUAUUAUAUCAGUGUGAUAUGGGAAUUCUUAC